CGAGCCGGGAAGCCGACCCGCACCAAGAAUCCUGAAUGUCACAGAUGGUGGGAGAUUAGGGGCAGGUCUGCACUAGAAAUGGACAUCGGCGUGGCUGCACCCCCUAGCGCAUCUGGGGAGACGCUCUAAGCCAACGGGAGAGAGCUCUCCGCGUCGGCUUCGUAACUCCACCUCUGUAAGAGACCCUCUCCCAUCCACAUGCAGCUGUCUACACUGCGGGUGUGUGGAUUUGUCACACCUCCCAACCCCCCUGAGUGACACAGUGCAUUACGGUAGCUCCAGGGCACUCUAAUCAUGGGCCAGGAUCCCCAUUUCGCCAGGCGCUACGCGGACACAGAAUAAAGUCAGUCCUUGCCCCAAAGACCUUCCAGUCUAAGAGAAGAGAUGCCAGCUGGAGCCAGACAAACGGAAAGGGGAGGGCAAGGAAAUCACAAGGCAGUGUAGCCCAGAAGGAUGUUUACAGGGAGAUCCCCCCCCAAGCGUGAAGAAGAGCGCGGGGGUGUCGUGUCACCGAGGGGCUUGUCUGGAAAUGUACCAAGCGGGAGAUCGAGGCUGGCAGCAAGGGCCGACCCAAGUUGCGGGAAAGUAUGAACCGGGAUCAGAUCAGGAGCGUGGCUGGCGGGGAGCGGGGCAGCGGCCGCUCUCCCACCGAGCAGAAGUGACCGUCGGGUCAGGCGGAGCUCCGGGUCUUCGGCGGCGGGUCCUUCACUCGCUCUGGUCUUCGGCGGCAUUUCGCUGGCCGAGGGUCCUUCACUGGCUCUGGUCUUCGGCAGCCCUGAAGGACCCGCCGCUGAAGACCCGGAG